CUCGUUCGUGAGAUCGUGAAAAACUGAAAAUGGGAGAAGAGACGAUGAAUACGCAUUAACACUAGUCACUAGGGUUCAAGCGUUCCUCAUAAUUGAAACAAAAUGUUCAGAAGAAGGUUUCUCUCAUUUCCUCUGGUUAUUGGUGCUGCCGUGAUUGGAGUUGUGUCUGGGAAAGCCAUAUUUGGGCCACCUCUUGAAGAGUACUGGAAAAAGAAACUGGAGGAAGAAGCAGCAGCAAAAGAGAAAGAAGCCAACUCUGGUUAAAUGUUUUAAGAAGCUAGGAAGAGUCAUUUAAUACCGGCCUCGAUUCACCAAGUAAGGAAUGCCUGCCCAUUUUAAGGUGGCGAACGUGCUCUAUCAAACAGAGCAACCACUGCUUGUUUUUGUAACUGCACGCAAUCAAUUGUUCACUAAAGGGAACACGAUACAGUAUUUUUGUUAACUGCAUAAAAUUAUAUUCAUUUGUUCAAUGUUAUUUGGAACCAUCCAAAUUACAUCUCUGCUGUAUGCAAAUAAAAGUUGGCCAAUUUGAUA